rnacentral:lncRNA from 1 species
CCAGAUUGACAUAUAAUACCCUUCCCAGUCUUGUUUUUCAACUUAAAUUAUAUAUUCCCCAAGUCCCUGGCUGAAUAAAUAAACUGAAUCAGGGGUGGGGUGUCCAACUUUGAAUAACACCACUCUGGUCUGUGAAACUCUAGAUGCCUUUGUCUGGGACCUAGACCCAUUGUUCUUGCUUGGCAAUAAUGGUUUGAUUCUCACAUUAAAUGCAUUAGUUUGAUAAAGGGCCAAGAAGUGCACACUCAUGAAUCUGAAAUGACCCCUUUCCUUACCAAGGCCCUGGCAUGGACAGCUAUCUGCAGGAGAUGAAAGGGGCCCAGCUUCUAUUUUUGUGGUCUCCCCAAGGAGCAAACUUUUUAUGUCUACUUUGAUGUAGACAUAAAAAGGCAUUUCUAACCGUAUAAGAAGUCCAGCUACCCUGAGGCCGUGGACUGCAGCUGCACUCCAGUCUUUAAGCCCAGCUGUGCUCGGGUGUCUCACUUUCUACACCCCACCCUCAGCAUCAGAUAUACUCUAUCUCAGAAGCAAAAAGCCAUCCAUGAACAAAGACCUGGGACCAAGCCGACUCAUAAUACUAGUGGGAAACGGCCCCACCAGCAGCCCGCACCUGCAUCCUGCUCUCCCGCUGCCUCACUGGACCCUUGCAGUUAACUGGGACUUCAGCAGAGCAGAGCCUCAUCUUACGGAGGUCAAGUGUCCCACUGCUGCAGGGCCUUCAACCUGGAUCAUCCAGGUCUUCACAGGACUCCUCCCCCAGAAUGAUGCCUCCUUUGACAAUAGCUGGAGAUGUCAGAAAUGAGAUCAUUACUCAGCACUGGAUGCAGUGCUAUCUGGUGAUGUAGGAAUAGGAGAGGUAUCCAUUGGUUCAGACUCUUCAGUUGACGCCUCCACUGUAGUUUCUGUAAUGACAUCUGGCCUCAUAGCAGCAUGGAUAAAUUCUGGAGUUGAUACACAGGAGGGACAAAUACUUCCACAGGACUUCUCGAAUCCCUCAAGCAGGUAGGAGAUUCCACAUGAAGCAGGGCUUCAGCAGCUUCGACUGUCUUAUCUGUACAGUGUACAUUACUGCUGUGAGCAGAUGCUUCCACCCCCGAGAUGAGCAGAUCCAGCUGGUUCAUGGGUCCCUCAUGCAGAGACGUUGCCACGUUCAUCCCGGGGCUGGAGCUGCUGCUUCACAGGGAAGCAAGCCAAUGACGAUCCCAGUUUGGACAACAAAUUCUGUAACCUGGAGCUCUGACAGCUUCUCAUCCUCCAGGUGAAGGUUCCAGCAACGACCAGCCCUCGAUUGGCCUUGGUUCCUUCAUUUUCAUUUCUUUAAUGACUGGUGAAGGUUUUAUUGUUUUGCUUUUGUUCCCCCCCACCCCUCAAACUCUGUGCCUGUUUAAAUGUAUCCUGUGGCUACAUCUUCAUCCUUCCUCUCUCAAAUCCUACUGCAAAGCAAAGGAUGCAGACGGGGGUUGUAGUGAAAGGGAGCUGGGAUCAUCAGAAUGGCCUAUAGGUUAACCUCCCCAUACAAAUUACAAUGGAGACCUCCCUAGCUAUGAGAACAUGGGAGACUGAGCCAGGAGAUAGGGUGGAGGUGUGCAAAGAAGUCAUUGGCAGAAAGAGUGAUGGUGGUAGCGUAUUUCUUCCCUUUUCUGGGUGAUGGUGGGCUUUCUGAGCUGACACCUGCUUUAUCCUGGGCCUACUGCCUUCCAUGGGACUCUCACAUCCCGGAGGCUUAGUGUCCCUUCCUAACCACAGGGAUCCAGCACUUAAGCUCACUCUAUACAGCUGUUUUGCCUUCAAAGACUAGUACUUCUAAUACACAUUCUCCACUUUCUCUCCAAUAGUGGUGUUGGCUUCUCACACUGUUAUAAAGAAAUACCUGAGACUAGGCAAUUUAUAAAGAAAAGGGAUUUAAUUGGCUCACAGUUCUGCAGACUGUACAGGAAGCAUGGUGCCAGCAUCUGCUUGGCUUCUGGAGAGUCCUCAGGAAGCCUACAGACAUGGUGGAAGGCAAAGGGCAAGCAGACACCUCACAUGGCCAGAGCAGGAGGAAGAAGGAGGGGGAAAUGCCAUACACUGUUAAACAACCAGACCUCAUGAGAACUCACUCACUAUACAGUACCAAAUGCUAAACCAUGAGAAACCAGCCCUGUGAUCCAAUCACCACCCACCAGGCCCCACCUCCAAUAUUGGGGAUUACAAUUGAGCAUGAGAUUUGGGUGGGGACAUAGAUCCAAACCAUAUCACCAAGUCCUCUGGAUUUCCUUCCAAUGUUCCUAUUCUGUGGCCAGAGUAAAUGGCUCAAGUGAAAAUUCAACUAGGCUCUAAUCCAAGGACCUUGGGUUGGUCACUUACCUACC